CUGCGCUCCCCCCACUCCACUUCACCAAUUCUAUUAAUAAAGAGUUAAGAAAAUUCAUUAGGAAGUGGGCCUUUUAUAGAUUCCGUUAAAGCCUUCUUCCUACCUCUGUCACCGAGAAAGGAUAAAAACCCUUUUAUCACUCUACAACUUGUUAAUGUUCCACCCCAGGAGCACUUCAUCUGUAAUAAACAUCUUCACAAAAUAUGCAUCCCCAGGGAGGAGCCGUUAAUUUCCUCGAGGCCUCACACAUGUAAGGGAUUUUAUUGCCUGCAGGUGCUUCAUGAUAUUGCAUGGGCUUCUAAUAAACGGCCAGUAAACCGCAGGUAGCGCCUCGGAGGCCGAGGGUUCUGUGCACCUGUCCACGAAGGCAUCCACACACCGUGCCUCUGCCUUCCAAAGCCGGGCCCUGGCACAGGCGGCUCCCAGCUCGACCUGCCCCCAACCUGCCUCUCCGGAUGCCGACAGGUGUUGGGGAUGGAACUCAAGGCCUCGCACACGUUAGGCAAUCGCUCUGCCACUGAGCAACAUCCCCGGCCCGGGAAGCCUAUCUCUCAGCUGCUCCUUAAGGCUAGAGGCUGUGAAUCUCCAACAGGCCCAGGUGGGCUUCUGGGCUCCCAGAGCAUCCAUCCAAGCACCUCCUUUGGGUCUCCAUUCCACCCGCACCAAACUCCUGGGGAAGCAACAAGUUUGAGCCAAGACCCCAUGAUUGAAAUUCCCCAAUAAAUCCCUCCCAGCUGAGGGUCUGUCGCUGCUUUAGCAAGUGGAGAUGGCGGGGGUUGCAAACUUCAAACAGGACUUGGAGGGUGGGGGGUUGUGCUGAGAGAGGAGGCCACUGACCAAGGGCUCUGAGUUAAUUAAAGAGACUGCAUGGUUGCACCUAUAAAGUGGGCUGUCUGUGUAGUACAGCAGCAGUGAUUCGAAUCUUUGCAGGUUACCUUCUUGCUCAGGAGAGAGCCUGGAAGCAGGCAGAGUCUGCAACCACGUUUAGCAUGGACAUUUGCAGCCCACUGUGAAGCCCCAGACAGAAGGACCUGCCCUUCCUUCCACAGGAGCCGAUACCUUUCAAUGACCCCAUUAAACAUCGAGGGUCUACUGUGUUCUGGGCACUGGGCUGGGCACAUAACCUAGAGGACACAGGCCACUGCCUGGCCCAUCUUACAAGCGAAGGGCGCGAGGCUCAGACAGGCAGACUCACCAGCUCAAGGCCAGCCUGUAGUGUAGGAGAAUCA
rnacentral:lncRNA from 1 species